AAUCGUUUUCUUUUCUAGUAAAUAAAUUGUAGUAAUAGUAUAGUAUAGUGUGGUAAGAAGUUAUAAAGAGUGGGGAUGGGAUGGUCUCUUUUUUAAUUUCUUGCAAAGUCAUGUAUAGACUUUUUACUCCACAGAAUCAAAUUGGUAUUGAAAAAUCAAUGAGCCAAAAGACAAUUAUAUUGUGAUAGCCCCUUUUCACUUGUUUACUUGAUUGCUUCAGCCCAUGGGUCUUUAAAGAUUUGCCCACUCCAAGACUCCAAGCUUUAACUCUUCUUGUCCCUCCUUACUUUAAUUCUGUCUCUCUCUGUUCAACCCCCCACCCCACAAUCUUAACACCCCCAUCCCAUCUUUUUUCCAGCUAUAAAUACUUGAGCUACUUCAAGCUUCUUAAUUAUCACCUCAAGUUCAAAAUGAACAAUUCCCUCCACAAGAAAAUACCUUAUUCUUUUUUUGGUUGUUUAAGUUAUAGAGUUAGCUUUAGUUAUGAAAAUGUUGGUAAUAAUGGGUGGGUAGCUCUAGUUGGAGAAGCAGGGCACGUGCAAGUUCUUGAAUUUGAAGAUAUGUGUAUUUUUCAUGCAUGAAUCUUGCACGUGUUCUGCUUCCCCAACCUGAGUUUCCUACCUCCUCUUCUCUCAAGGCUUUCUAUAGAGAAUUGACAGUGGGAGUUUCUGUUACUAAACAUAAUGUGUAGAAUGAAAGGAAACCUAUAGACCUAUGGGUCCUUUUUGUCAUGCUGUUUUGAGGUGGCAAUGAAGUCAAAUGGACCAAACAUGGAGCUAGUGGUCCUACGCAGCAUGGUUUAAAGCAGCCUGUCUAGGCUCUAGCUUAGCUACCAUAGCCAUCUGUUUUCAUCUUAAUAUGACAUUUCACAUUAUGUUUGAGUGCAUUUUUACUAUGAUGGUGAAUUCUUGAAUUUUUACAUCUUGUACUUAAAUAGUACUCCUAUGAAAAAAAAUUUACGCUCUGUUCAAAUUGUAUGUAUAGAUGUUAAACAUAAACACUUCAAUAAUAUGUUCCUUAUAUACACAAA